rnacentral:sRNA from 14 species
AUAUUCCCAGAAGAGUUAAUAGAUAAGGGAAUAAUAAUA